rnacentral:snoRNA from 1 species
GUACUAUGUUGGCUGCAUAGUUCAGCAGAUUGAAUCUUGAAGGAAUCUACCAGCUGUCUGAUGUU